rnacentral:lncRNA from 1 species
CCUCGGCCUUCUCAUGACCUCAGCCUCAAUUGUCCAUUUUGGCUUUUUGAGGUCGGCUUUCCACCUCAUGACCUUAGCCUUCUCAUGGAGUGCUCGCGGAUCUGCAGACUCUCUCCUUAUUAGCCAUCACCUCCUUUCAUUAUUUUGGAUUUAAAUCUGCUAUAAUAAUCUUUCUGUUUCUGGACUCCUCUUAAUUGUAAAGUUGUAACUGCUU